GGGGAGAGUUUGAUCCUGGCUCAGAUUGAACGCUGGCGGCAUGCCUUACACAUGCAAGUCGAACGGUAACAGGGAGCUUGCUCCGCUGACGAGUGGCGAACGGGUGAGUAAUGUAUCGGAACGUACCAUUCAGUGGGGGAUAACGUAGCGAAAGUUACGCUAAUACCGCAUAUUCUGUGAGCAGGAAAGCAGGGGAUCGCAAGACCUUGCGCUGAUUGAGCGGCCGAUAUCAGAUUAGCUAGUUGGUGAGGUAAAGGCUCACCAAGGCGACGAUCUGUAGCGGGUCUGAGAGGAUGAUCCGCCACACUGGAACUGAGACACGGUCCAGACUCCUACGGGAGGCAGCAGUGGGGAAUUUUGGACAAUGGGGGCAACCCUGAUCCAGCCAUGCCGCGUGAGUGAAGAAGGCCUUCGGGUUGUAAAGCUCUUUCGGCCGGGAAAAAAUCGCAUGGGUUAAUACCCUGUGUGGAUGAUGGUACCGGAAUAAGAAGCACCGGCUAACUACGUGCCAGCAGCCGCGGUAA
rnacentral:rRNA from 1 species